GAGACCCCCUCCCCAAUCAGGAAAGUUGCAGUGGUCGUGGAGACAAGCAGAACGCAGCCUGGAUUCAGAUUCGCAUGGAACCACAGACCGACGUUUCUUCACCUGUAAAAGGGGGACAACCAUCCCACAUAUUCUUGGAGCUGCACCAAGGAACAACCAAAGUGGGUACAACAUUGUGGAUUCUUCACACCCUCGGAGGGUCAGGAAGGGGCGGACGAGUCCACGGGCUGCAGUCAUGCAGGCACGAGGUGGAAGUUUCCAGAAGGCAGGUUUCAGCUCUGCCUGUGGAAGAGCAUCCCGGCAGAGCUGCCCCAGGAGGGAAGGAGUCUCCACGCUGGUGAACAUGCAUCGCUGGGCUCGCUUGGACAGAGCCGGGCGGGUACCAGUAAGGGCACAGAGAUGAGAGUCACUGUGUGGCGGGCCGGAUUGGGUGUCACCCGUGGUCACUGCCCAUCNNNNNNNNNNNNNNNNNNNNNNNNNNNNNNNNNNNNNNNNNNNNNNNNNNNNNNNNNNNNNNNNNNNNNNNNNNNNNNNNNNNNNNNNNNNNNNNNNNNGUGUGGUGGGCCGGAUUGGGUGUCACCCGUGGUCACUGCCCAUCUAAGGCUCAGGGAUUGAAGGAGUCUCGGGUUUGCUCAGGACGCAGACUCCUCAGCAUUCAGAGGUUUGGGGCAUGGCCUCACACGUGCAUGCCCUGGGAUGAGGAGGGCAGGACCAUCCUGCUCCCAGGCUGGGAGGUCAGACCCCUGAGGUGCCCUGGCUCAGCCAUCACUAAUGACUUGAACCCACAUGUCCUGCCUGCCAGCAGUCAGCCCCUAAGUCAGCUGCCUCCUCUUCUGACACUGAUGGGCACCGGGGAUGCCUCGAGAAUGACCCAACGAGGCUCACAGGGGGUCCUCUGCACGGGCCUCUUCUGGAAACCGACUGUCCCGUUCUCCUGGUCCUGUGAAUUGUCCAACACAGCAUGAAGGCUCAGGCUUGGUCCCUGUUCCUUGCUCAGGGAGGCGACAUCUGUCCCCGCUGUCCUGGGAACAAGGGUGGUGCCCUGCGCACACAGGCACAGCAUCAUUCUAGCCUGUGCACCUCCUGUGUCCCCGGUGCCAGGCAGCAGAGGCUCAACUGAUGUCAGUGACCUGGGUAAAGAUUGGUAUUUGGAGGGGGGUCAUGCCUGUGAAGGUGGUGGUGGGGGUCCCCUCUCCUCUCAGGACAAGUGAGCCAUGUCCAGAGUGAGACAAGCAGAUCACACACCUACCCGUCUGGUCCUUGAAGCUAGUGGUUCUGCCACGCUCCCCUCCUCCACCCUGUCUGGAAGCCACUUUGCCCAGAGGUGGUGGAGAGAUGGCAUGGUGCCCAGCCUUUGCUGCCAGCUUGCCUUCUUUCUGCAGCCUGGCCUGUGGACCAGGCCCACCGCAAGCUCCCUCCCGGGGUGAGGAGUCUGGGAGGCUAUUAGCCUAAUUGUCGUGGAGAGGCUGGGACCAGCGAGAUCCCCUAGGGGACUGUUCAGGGAGGGGCUGGGAGGGCCUCUGUCUGCAGCCUCUUCAGCUCUUCCCUGCCCCCAGCACCCUGCUCCCUGAACAUCCUGCCCAGCGCAUCCCACACAGAGGGGACCCUCCCCCCCGGAAGGCAGGAGCUCACUGGCCAAGGCCUGAGUGCACAGAUUUCCACUGGGCCAGUGAUGUGGGCAGAGACACUUGGGGGAGUCUUAACUCUAGGUCUUAAAGAUGAAGGGCCCUCCUGCCCAGCCCCCACCUCCAGGCAGAUGAGUCCCUGUCCCCUUCCCACAGACUAAGAGGUUAGGCUGUGCCCAGGGUCACCUAGAAAUGGAGGCAUUGAGUCUGCACUCAGGGUUUGGUGCCGAAAGCAGGGCUACCCAAGGUACAGGAGCAGAGAAAAGGCCAUUAGCUGCAGGGCCUCCCCGAGAGGCUGGCUGGGCUCUCCCUGGUCAAAGCCCCUUGCUGCCCGUUCCUGGGGCUGGACAGGCCCUUCCAUCUCAUACCACUGUGUCAUCAGGACCCAGCAGGGAGCCGGUGGUUCACUGGCUCUAGGAUAACGUGAGUUUAUUUACAAGGAGACUUUCCAGAGAUGUCUGGAGAAGAGCUGGACCAUGAAGAAGGCUGAGCACUGAAGAAUUGAUGGUUUUGAACUGUGGUAUUGG
rnacentral:lncRNA from 1 species